CAGAAGUGGGGCAACCUGCCGACGUACUAAAGCCAGAACUGUUGCCAUUAACAGUCCAGUGACUGUGGAACCAGCUGGAGCAACCUCUGCAGUACCCCCUCAGCUUUUUGAAGAUGAGAUUCAGCAAUUGCAGGAGCUUUUGGUUGAUCAACCAUCAACCUCUUCCUCAUGGUGCCUGCGCCAAAGUGCUGCCCAAUUGGAGUGGCAAAAGGCAAGGUCCCAUCACUUGGACA